CCCUUAGAUGUUCUGGGCCGCACGCACGCUACACUGAUGCAUUCAACGAGUCUAAAACCUGCUCUGAUAGGGGUGGGUAAUCUUUUGAAUGUGCAUCGUGAUUGGGAUAGAUGAUUGCAAUUUUUCAUCUUCAACGAGGAAUGCCUAGUAAACGCAAGUCAUCAGCUUGCAUUGAUUACGUCCCUGCCCUUUGUACACACCGCCCGUCGCUCCUACCGAUUGAAUGAUCCGAUGAAUAUCAUGGAUUGAGGAUGCAAGCAGGUUCGCCUGUCUUCAUCUUCGAGAAGUGAAGUAAAUCUUAUCAUUUAGAGGAAGGAGAAGUCGUAACA
rnacentral:rRNA from 1 species